rnacentral:rRNA from 1 species
CGGAAUUACUGGGCGUAAAGCGCACGUAGUCGGCUUUGCACGGCGGGGGUGAAAUCCCCGGGCUCAACCUGGGAACUGCAUCCGAGACUGCAUUGCUAGAGUAUGGGAGAGGGAAGCGGAAUUUCUGGUGUAGCAGUGAAAUGCGUUGAGAUCGGAAGGAACGCCCGUGGCGAAAGCGGGCUCCUGGACCCCAACUGACGCUGAGGCGCGAAAGCCAGGGGAGCGAACGGG